GCACAAUCGGGACUUAAAUCUCUUACACAACUGUGUCUUUUCUUCAUUCUGCCUGCAUCUCCUCGCCGGCGUGUGGUAUCCCUACACGUUACUCGUUUUCUGAUUCGUUUCAAUCAAACAACACGUAGGAAAUGAGUGGGGACCAGAUCGACUGUGGCUCUCGUUUCAAUGACUCUCACAAGCAUAAAGAAAAGUACAAAGAGAAGGAACACAAACACAAGGACCACAAAAAGGAUAAGGAACGGGAAAAAACAAAGCAUGCCAACAGCGAUCACAAGGACGCCACUGACAAAAAAUACAGAGACAAGGAGAAGGAGAAGAUGAAGCACAAAGAUGGCAGCGCAGACAAAUACAAGGACAAGCACAAGGAGAAGAAGAUAAAGACCCUUGAUGGAAAAGUCAAAAAGGAGAAUGGCUUUGCCAGCCCUCCAGCAGUGAAGUCCGAGCCUGAGGAUAAUUUUUACCACUCUCCUAAAAAUGAGAAGUCUCUAAAAAGAGAACGGGAUGACGAUAUUGACUCUGAUUUCAAGCCCAAAAAAGUUAAGAUUGAAAACGACAAGAAGGUCAAGAAAAGGAAACCAGAGGAGGAGGAUAUUAAGCCCAAAAAGACAAAAAACAAAAGAGCAGUCGCUGAUGGAAAAAAGAAAGCAAAGAAAGAGCCAGAGGAGAAGUGGAAAUGGUGGGAGGAAGAGAGAUACACAGACGGCUCCAAAUGGAAGUUUCUGGAACACAAAGGACCUGUUUUUGCACCACCGUACGAGCCUCUUCCGAGCCAGGUCAAAUUUUUCUAUGAUGGUAAGCACAUGAAGCUGCGGCCAGAGGCAGAAGAGGUGGCCACGUUUUUUGCCAAAAUGCUGGACCACGAGUACACCUCAAAGGAUAUCUUCCGCAAAAACUUCUUUAAAGAUUGGAGGAAGGAAAUGUCUGCAGAGGAGAAGACUAAGUUGACAGAUCUGAAGAAGUGUGACUUCACCGAGAUGAGUGACUACUUCAAGGCCCAGUCUGAAGCCAGGAAGGCCAUGUCAAAGGAUGCCAAACUGAAAAUCAAGGAGGAGAACGAGCGGCUCUUACAGCUUUACGGCUUCUGCAUCAUGGACAACCACAGGGAACGUAUUGCUAACUUUCGCAUCGAGCCCCCGGGCCUGUUCCGCGGCCGGGGAGACCAUCCAAAAAUGGGCAUGCUCAAACGGCGCAUCAGGCCUAAAGAUAUCAUCGUCAACUGCAGCAAGGACUCCAAGCACCCAGAGCCUCCUCCAGGCACUAAGUGGAAAGAGGUUCGUCAUGACAACAAGGUCACUUGGCUGGUGUCGUGGACGGAGAACAUUCAAGGCUCGAUCAAAUACAUCAUGCUGAACCCCAGCUCAAGGAUCAAGGGAGAGAAGGACUGGCAGAAGUAUGAAACCGCUCGUCAGCUGAAGAAAUGCGUGGACCGCAUCAGAACCCAGUACCGCGAGGACUGGAAGUCUAAGGAGAUGCGGAUCAGGCAACGGGCCGUGGCACUCUACUUUAUCGACAAGCUGGCUCUGAGAGCGGGCAACGAGAAGGAGGAAGGAGAAACCGCAGACACGGUGGGCUGCUGCUCGCUGAGAGUCGAACACAUCAAACUCUAUCCAGAGAACGAUGGUCAAGAGUUUGUGGUGGAGUUUGACUUCCUCGGUAAGGACUCCAUUCGCUACUACAACAAAGUCCCUGUGGAGAAACGGGUAUUUAAGAACCUUCAGUUGUUUAUGGAGAACAAGGACACUGAUGACGACCUGUUUGAUCGCCUGAAUACUUCUGUUCUGAACAAGCACCUUCAGGAGCUGAUGGACGGACUGACGGCCAAAGUCUUCCGUACCUACAACGCCUCCAUCACCCUGCAACAACAGCUGAAGCAGCUCACAAGUGCGGAAGAGAACCUUCCAGCCAAGAUCUUGUCCUACAACCGGGCCAACCGGGCUGUGGCCAUCCUGUGUAACCAUCAGCGGGCUCCACCAAAGACGUUUGAGAAGUCGAUGCAGAACCUGCAGCUAAGAUUGAUACUAAAAGGGACCAGCUCUCUGACGCCAAGAGGGAACUGAAGAGCUCCAAGGCCGACGCCAAAGUACGGAGAGAUGAAAAAUCCAAAAAGACCGUGGAGACCAGGAAGAAGGCGGUCGAGAGGACAGAAGAGCAGCUGAUGAAGCUGGAGGUGCAGGCAACCGAUCGGGAGGAGAACAAGCAGAUCGCUCUCGGCACGUCCAAGCUCAACUAUCUUGACCCUCGCAUCUCUGUGGCUUGGUGUAAGAAGUGGAGCAUUCCCGUGGAGAAGAUCUACAACAAAACCCAGCGUGAGAAGUUCGCCUGGGCCAUCGACAUGGCGGAGGAUGACUUUGAAUUUUAAAUCCCAAUUUGUGGUUUUAACUAUGACACACUUUUUUUUUUUAUCGGAUACUUGUUUUUUUUUAUUUUUUUUUAGCUUAACUGAAUUUUGCUCGAUGGCCAGACCCGAUCAGGAAUUUCAGACAGUUUGACGCCGUAACGAAGUGGCCGCAGGGGGUUGUGGGUAGUCUUACACAUCUGAUCUGACUGGGAUCGGGCAUCGAGGCUGAACUAUACCCACACCUGAGCGUCACGGCGUGGUCCCAGUAAUCGGAAGACCUUUUUACCGUUCGUCUCUCCUCGGCUGCGACACUCGACUUUGCCUGAACUUUGAACUCUGUGGUCUUAUUGCUACUGUACUCGGCAAAAAAAACAAAACACACACACAAAAAAAAAGAAGCUUUGUAACAUUUUUAUUUUCUCUGUUCACUUGCUCUGUAUUUUAGCCCUCCCCAUGUAUUAUUAAUGAAUUCUAUAUUUUGAUAGACAAAGUUGAAUCAAAUGAGUUCCUUAACUACACCCACGCGCCUUUUUGAGGAAAUCUGAGUUUUGAGUUGUGUGCAUGUGUGUGUAUGAGGGGCCCGGCCAUGGAAUUGAUUGAAUAUUUUAAACUGGACUAAUGUUGAAUUGUUAAGCAUGAAAGGGGAACACACUGCAAACCGUGUCAAUAUUUACUUAAGCAAGCAGAAUGUGAAUAUGUUGUUUUACAGCCUCCAUCAGGGACUUCUUCUACAGUGUAAAUGUGAACCAAUCAUUUGUGUCCUUUUUAAGUCUCGAGCGUCCUCUGAAUCUCUCUCUCUCGCAUAGCUCUGUCUCCAUCUGAUUUCAACUUUAAUUUAACAAUUGCUCCCAGAAAAAGAAACUCCCGUAUCUGUUACUUGAAGAUAAUGCUAUGAUAAUGUAUUUAAAGUCAUUAAAUAGAAAGUGUUUUCUUCCCAGAAAAGGGGAUGUGAGGGAUUUUAACUUUGCCAAAAAAAAAAAAAAAAAAAUCACCACCAAUCUGUUACAAUUUUAGGCAGUUUUUAAUUUUCUUUUUAUUGUGUAAAGAUUCAGGAUAAAAUGAUGUAACAUUUAAUGUGAAUUUAUCGGUUCAUUUUAUUCCACUUUUAUGAUAGGAAAGUCGAUGUAAGUUGCUGUAAAGACAACAUCUUAUUCCUGUUUUAUCUUUUGUCAUAGCCUUUGAUCUUGUUUUCUUUUGAGUGUUAUGCUCAUUGUAGGUUGGAAAAUGAAUAAAACCCUACAAGUACAUUUAC